UACGGAGGAUCCAAGCGUUAUCCGGAUUUAUUGGGUUUAAAGGGUGCGUAGGCGGCCUAUUAAGUCAGGGGUGAAAGACGGUAGCUUAACUAUCGCAGUGCCCUUGAUACUGAUGGGCUUGAAUAUACUUGAGGUAGGCGGAAUGUGACAAGUAGCGGUGAAAUGCAUAGAUAUGUCACAGAACACCAAUUGCGAAGGCAGCUUACGAAGGUAUGAUUGACGCUGAGGCACGAAAGCGUGGGGAUCAAACAGG
rnacentral:rRNA from 1 species